rnacentral:rRNA from 1 species
CCCUUAGAUGUUCUGGGCCGCACGCGUGCUACACUGAGUCAAUCAAUGGGUAAGGGAACACGAAAGUGCAACCUAAUCUUGAAAUUUGCUCGUGAUGGGGAUCGACGGUUGCAAUUUUCCGUCGUGAACGAGGAAUACCUUGUAGGCGCGUGUCAUCAUCACGCGCCGAAUACGUCCCUGCCCUUUGUACACACCGCCCGUCGCUCCUACCGAUUGAGUGAUCCGGUGAGGCUCUGGGACCUGGACGGAAAGAGCGUUUCGCUUGUUCUGUUUGGGAAACUUGGUCGAACCUUAUCAUUUAGAGGAAGGAGAAGUCGUAACA